rnacentral:rRNA from 1 species
UCCUGCUAAAGGAAUCUUUUGCCGGUCCUAAAAGCACCGGUGAAUAAGGGGUGGGCAAGUCUGGUGUCAGCCGCCGCGGUAAUACCAGCACCUCGAGUGAUCAGGACGUUUAUUGGGCCUAAAGCAUCCGUAGCUGGCUUUGCAAGUCUCCGGUUAAAUCAACCUGCUUAACAGAUUGGCCGCUGGAGAUACUACAAAGCUAGGGAGUGGGAGAGGCAGACGGUAUUCGGGGGGUAGGGGUAAAAUCCUCUGAUCCUCUGAGGACCACCAGUGGCGAAGGCGGUCUGCCAGAACACGUUCGACAGUGAGGGAUGAAAGCUGGGGGAGCAAACCGGAUUAGAUACCCCCGUAGUCC